rnacentral:rRNA from 1 species
AUGUACCAACUUUUGCCUUGCUACUUUGAUGUGUACUUAUUAAAACAGAUGCUCGGCUUGCCUUGUCUUUUUUGUUGCCUCUUUUUGGUCUUGGUGCUGGGUGCCAUCCAGAUCUUCGUGUUUGAUGCUGGGAGCAAUUCUCAGAUUGUCCUGGAAUGGAAAGAUCAGUUUGGUGGUGCCAUACUGAAUCAAUUAUGUAGGCUUGGCACCUCCCUUGAUUGGUCCGUGAGAGCAACCCUCAGCUGGUCAUCAUCGCUCAUGAUGUUGACCCAGUUGAGCUGGUUGUGUGGUUCCCAGCCCUGUGCAGGAAAUUGGGAGGUCCCAUACUGCAUUGUUAAGGGAGAAUCACACCGUGGACCGUAUAGGUAUUUCCUAAUUGAAAAGUUCCUGGGCAAACUAUGUGUUCCUCUGGAUUUGGUUGAAAUAGACCAACAUGUCAUAAACAUGGUGUUGGUCAUUGUUUGUCCAGUUCCCUUCAAAAAAGAAGAGAUGGCAGAGAGUGGCUCCAUCACUGAAGAGACGACGAACAUUUUGCAAGGCAUUGUUUCUUCAGGUCCUUUAAAAAAUAAAGGAAUUACAAUGCAUCUAACCUAUAAAGGGGCUGUGAAGGACAAAAUGCUAUGGACCCAGAGGAGUGGGAGGGGAGAAUUUACCAACAAUGCAUCAAGGACAAAGCGUGACCUGGUUUCCUAA